AUGGCUGUCGUCAGCUCGUGUCGUGAGACGUUGGGUUAAGUCCCGCAACGAGCGCAACCCUUGUCUUGUGUUGCCAGCGCGUAAUGGCGGGGACUCGCAAGAGACUGCCGGGGUCAACUCGGAGGAAGGUGGGGACGACGUCAAGUCAUCAUGCCCCUUAUGUCUAGGGCUGCAAACAUGCUACAAUGGCCGGUACAACGGGCUGCGACACCGCGAGGUGAAGCGAAUCCCUGAAAGCCGGUCUCAGUUCGGAUUGGAGUCUGCAACUCGACUCCAUGAAGUCGGAGUCGCUAGUAAUCCCGGAUCAGCAACGCCGGGGUGAAUACGUUCCCGGGCCUUGUACACACCGCCCGUCACACCACGAAAGUUGGUAACGCCCGAAGCCAGUGGCCCAACCCUUUGGGAGGGAGCUGUCGAAGGUGGGAUCAGCGAUUGGGGUGAAGUCGUAACAAGGUAGCCGUACCGGAAGGUGCGGCUGGAUCACCUCCUUUCUAAGGAGUUCCAUGUACCUCUCGAGUCGACAAAUGCUCGACGAGAGAGGGGAACUACCCAGUUGAAGCACUGGUAGUUCGUUCUCUGUUCCGUUUUGAAGGAGCGAUCAUCUGAUCGCUCCUUUUGCUGUGCGGCGAUGGAACCGCCGGCCCCUCGUCAGAGCCCUCGAGGAUCACCUCGGGCUCGAACGACGAGUCGCCUUGAACCCAUCGCACAUCACGCGCCCCUUGAGAAUUGCAUAGCGAGCACGAGCAUCUUUGUUUUUCCCAAGCUACAAAGAGCCAACGGUGGAUGCCUUGGCGUCUACUACCGAUGAAGGACGUGGGUGACUGCGAAAAGCUACGGGGAGCCGUCGACCAGGCGUUGAUCCGUAGAUGUCCGAAUGGGGAAACCCGG
rnacentral:sRNA from 1 species